AGAACGAACGCUGGCGGCAGGCUUAACACAUGCAAGUCGAACGCCCCGCAAGGGGAGUGGCAGACGGGUGAGUAACGCGUGGGAAUCUACCCAGUUCUACGGAAUAACACAGGGAAACUUGUGCUAAUACCGUAUACGCCCUACGGGGGAAAGAUUUAUCGGGAUUGGAUGAGCCCGCGUUGGAUUAGCUAGUUGGUGGGGUAAUGGCCUACCAAGGCGACGAUCCAUAGCUGGUCUGAGAGGAUGAUCAGCCACACUGGGACUGAGACACGGCCCAGACUCCUACGGGAGGCAGCAGUGGGGAAUAUUGGACAAUGGGCGAAAGCCUGAUCCAGCCAUGCCGCGUGAGUGAUGAAGGCCUUAGGGUUGUAAAGCUCUUUCAGUGGGGAAGAUAAUGACGGUACCACAGAAGAAGCCCCGGCUAACUUCGUGCCAGCAGCCGC
rnacentral:rRNA from 1 species